rnacentral:lncRNA from 1 species
UUGAUGAGAACCCCUCGGGAUUACCUAUAGGGGAGGCUUUAGAUCGUAUACAUGGGAGUGUCGCUCUGGAAACAUUAAGGCAGCAGCAGGCACGGUUCCAGCAGUGGAGCGAGCAUCAUGCCUUUCUCAGUCAGGGCAGCGCUCCAUACCCACACCAUCACCAUCCUCACCUCCAGCAUCUUCCUCAGCCGCCCCUGGGAUUACAUCAGCCGCCAGUGAGGGCAGACUGGAAGCUCACCAGCAGUGCCGAAGAUGAAGUGGAGACCACAUACUCAAGGUUUCAAGACUUAAUCAGAGAACUGUCUCAUCGUGAUCAAAGUGAAACACGGGAACUAGCUGAAAUGCCACCACCUCAAUCAAGACUUUUGCAAUAUAGACAAGUACAGAGUAGAAGCCCACCAGCAGUCCCAUCUCCCCCAUCCAGUACAGACCACAGUAGCCACUUUUCUAACUUUAAUGAUAACAGCAGAGACAUUGAAGUAGCCAGCAACCCAGCAUUUCCACAGCGCCUCCCACCCCAGAUAUUCAACUCACCUUUCUCGUUGCCAUCUGAACACCUUGCCCCUCCUCCCUUGAAAUACCUGGCACCUGAUGGAGCAUGGACUUUUGCUAACUUGCAACAGAAUCACCUAAUGGGGCCAGGUUUUCCCUAUGGCCUACCUCCAUUGCCUCACAGGCCACCGCAGAAC